rnacentral:rRNA from 1 species
UAGGGAAUCUUCCGCAAUGGACGCAAGUCUGACGGAGCAACGCCGCGUGCGUGAAGAAGGAUUUCGGUUCGUAAAACUCUGUUGUUAGAGAAGAACAGCGCAUAGAGUAACUGUUAUGCGUGUGACGGUAUCUAACCAGAAAGCCACGGCUAACUACGUGCCAGCAGCCGCGGUAAUACGUAGGUGGCAAGCGUUGUCCGGAUUUAUUGGGCGUAAAGCGAGCGCAGGCGGUCAAUUAAGUCUGAUGUGAAAGCCCCCGGCUCAACCGGGGAGGGUCAUUGGAAACUGGUUGACUUGAGUGCAGAAGAGGAGAGUGGAAUUCCAUGUGUAGCGGUGGAAUGCGUAGAUAUAUGGAGGAACACCAGUGGCGAAGGCGACUCGCUGGUCUGUAACUGACGCGGAGGCUCGAAAGCGUGGGUAGCAAACAGG